rnacentral:rRNA from 1 species
GUGUGAAUUGCAGAAUCCCGUGAACCAUCGAGUUUUUGAACGCAAGUUGCGCCCGAAGCCAUUAGGCUGAGGGCACGUCUGCCUGGGCGUCACGC